UACGAGGGUGGCGAGCGUUGUUCGGAAUUAUUGGGCGUAAAGGGUGCGUAGGCGGUUUGGUAAGUCUGAUGUGAAAUCUAUGGGCUCAACUCAUAGUCUGCAUCGGAAACUGCCGGGCUUGAGUAUGGGAGAGGUGAGUGGAAUUCCUGGUGUAGCGGUGAAAUGCGUAGAUAUCAGGAGGAACACCUGUGGCGAAAGCGGCUCACUGGACCAUAACUGACGCUGAUGCACGAAAGCUAGGGGAGCAAACAGG
rnacentral:rRNA from 1 species